rnacentral:lncRNA from 1 species
GGGGGGGAGGGGGCGGGGUCAGGGGAGGAGGCGGAGUCUGUUAAAUAAGCGGGGGCGGGGCCAGGCGGCUGUCAAUCAAAUGGAGCUGUCAAUCAAACGGGGCUGUCAAUCAACCCGGGCUGUCAAUCAAGUGGAGCUGUCAAUCAAACUGGAGAUGUCAAUCAACCGGAGCUGUCAAUCACGGCUGUCAAUCAGACGAGGCUGUCAAUCAACCCGGGCUGUCAAUCAAGUGGAGCUGUCAAUCAAACGGGGCUGUCAAUCAAAUUGAGCUGUCAAUCACCGGCUGCUGUCAAUCAGGGGCUGUUAUUUGAUGAGCUGUCAAUCAAAUGGGGCUGUCAAUCAAACGGAGCUGUCAAUCACGCGCUGCCUGGAGUGUCAAUCAAGUGGAGGUGUCAAUCAAAUGGAGCUGUCAAUCAAACGGGGCUGUCAAUCAAACUGGAGCUGUCAAUCAAUUCUAUCCAUCACAUAGAGCUGUCAAUCAAACACAAGGGAUCAAAUCGAGCUGUCAAUCAAAGACACUCACCGGCCCCUCCUCACCGGGGGGGGUCUCUUGCUGUGGGGGGGGGCUCCUCGUCCGCCGCCCCCCCC